CAGCCGGAUGCACUGAGCUGAAAACAUAAUUAGAGGGAUUCUUGGGAGUACAGUCCUCCUUAUCUGACUCACCAUCCCCCUUGCUUGUUUCUUGGUGACUAACCAAAAGGAUCAGGUCAAUUUGCUGAAAAAUUGUCCUCUCCCUGAGAAUUACUGUCUCCAGAAAAAGGAAAUAAGUAAUCAAGCAAUUAGUUCUUAUUGUAUAGCAGCCACCAUAAUGAAUGUGCUGCAAAGAAAAUGAGAAUUUUGUGACACUGUGACAGAAUGUGCUCCUCAAUUCACAUGCUGAAUAUUUCAUAAGCCAAUCACCCAUGUUAUCUUUAGUUUCUCUACCAUAUUAAAAUUUCACCACUACUCUUGUUCUGCUACCUCCAGGUGUGAAACUCACCCUCCUGUCUCAAGCCUCCAGGGUGAGGAAGAGAGGAUAAGGUGUCAUGGACACACACCAACCAGUCAACUGCACCUUGAGCUCCGUGUUCAAAUCCCCUAAGGCAAUGGAGACAGUUCAGGUCAGUUCAGUUCUUCAGACUUGUGUCCAGCUGUCCUUCUGUACUACACAGUGAGGGUGCAAUCCAGAAAAUGUGGAUACUUGCGUCAUGCUGUUUGAGUGUGAAUAAAUGUCAGCACUGCAGCACUGCCACCACCCACCUAGUCCACCAACCAUCUCUCUCCUCCACUGGUGGAUGAUCUCCUGUUGACAGGCCAAGCGUUAUUAUAAUGGUUUCAGGGCUAAGAGGAAAACUACUGCUCUUCACAGCAGAUGUCUUUUCAAAUCCUGACAAAACCACCCACAGAGAUGAGGAGAAAAUACUAUCACUGUACUCAGCUGACCCGGAGCAUACAUGUCAGUAGUCUGUGAAUGAUAGACAAUGUCCAAAGCUAGCAAGGACGCAUGCGUGCUUCCAGACUUACGUAAAUAACAUCUGUUUUUUAUGCUCAAGUUUGGUGUUCACCUGCACAGACUGUAUUUCCCUGAGGGGUGGGGUGGAGGGCAAGAAAGGAUUAGUAUUUCUUUUUUUUUUUUAAAUUAACUUUAAAUUUUUACUUUAAUUUAUAGAUUUAAUGUCCACAUUACACCUCAAAUUUUUCAUAUGGUAGAUCAAUGUCAGGCAUUAACCCCUUUGAAUACCAAAUAUGAUUGGUGAAGUUGACCACAAGCUUAACCCUAGUGUGAUGUGACUUCUGAGAUGACGAAUGUUGUGCUCAGACUCUGAAAGCGGCAGUGCAGAAAUCCACUUAACAGCCAACUCAUGAAGUGACUGGUGUCAGGCUGAGGAGUGUGAAUGAAACACGUUCCAGUCUGAAACAUUU